rnacentral:rRNA from 1 species
UAGGGAAUUUUGCGCAAUGGGCGAAAGCCUGACGCAGCAACACCGCGUGAAUGUUAAGCCCUUCGGGGUGUAAAGUUCUGUCAGUGGGGACGAAUACAUGACGGUACCCACAAAGGAAGCACCGGCUAACUCCGUGCCAGCAGCCGCGGUAAUACGGGGGGUGCAAGCGUUGUCCGGAAUCAUUGGGCGUAAAGCGUUCGUAGGCGGUAUGUCAAGUCUGGUGUUAAAGCCCGAGGCUCAACUUCGGAUCGGCACUGGAUACUGGCAAACUAGAAUGUGGUAGAGGUAAGGGGAAUUCCUGGUGUAGCGGUGAAAUGCGUAGAUAUCAGGAGGAACAUCGGUGGCGAAAGCGCCUUACUGGGCCAUUAUUGACGCUGAGGAACGAAAGCCAGGGGAGCAAAUG